GUGGGAGGGGGCUUGCUCCCGAUAGCAGUGGGUCAGUCAAUGAAUGGGUGAUUGACACUCCGCUAUCGGGAGCAAGCCCCCUCCCAC
rnacentral:misc_RNA from 1 species